ACUCCAUCCAAAGGAAUGCAAGACCUGAAAAAAUAAUAGUGAAAAAAAAGGACAAAAAGAAUUCCAAAAAAUUUAAGAUCAACUCUCACGAUGCAUAAAUGCAUGUAAAAACACAUCCAAGACACAAAAUGUUCAAGGAUGCAACAAUUCAUCUGAUAAGUUAACAGUGUAAAACCAGAGGCAGCAUUACAAAUUUAGACGAGCAUCUAUGACAAGCAAAAGCCUUUUUAUUCAUAUUUAUAUCCUAUUCUAUUCAUUUUCCAGCAAUUUCCUAAUACUUCCCGAAAAUUUAAAUUUCU
rnacentral:misc_RNA from 1 species